rnacentral:ncRNA from 1 species
UGUAUGGAAGUGUGCGUUAGUUCAUGGAGUUAAUUGUCUGAUUAAUUCCGAUAACGAACGAGACUCAAAUAUAUUGAAUAAACUGCUUCACGAUUAUGAUGCAGAAGCUAUAAUGGACUUCAUUUACGAGCAUUGUAAAAUGUAUGUGUUUGAAUGCAUUUAUAAAAGUGGAGCUGGACCGGCUUGUCGGUUUGUUCUCUUGCAGAAUACUAACAUCUUAAAUAGACAAAUGUCGUGUAGCAAUAAUGAGAUCGGGCAAUGGCAUGUCUGUGAUG